UGGGGAAUUUUACGCAAUGGGGGAAACCCUGACGUAGCGACACCGCGUGAGCGAAGAAGCCCUUUGGGGUGUAAAGCUCUGUCGGCAGGGACGAAAAAAAUGACGGUACCUGCAGAGGAAGCAUCGGCUAACUACGUGCCAGCAGCCGCGGUAAGACGUAGGAUGCGAGCGUUGUCCGGAUUUAUUGGGCGUAAAGAGUUCGUAGGUGGUUCGCUAAGUCUGAUGUUAAAGACUGGGGCUCAACCCUGGAGAUGCAUUGGAUACUGGCGGACUGGAGUGCAGUAGAGGCAAGCGGAAUUCCCAGUGUAGCGGUGAAAGGCGUAGAUAUUGGGAAGAACACCGGUGGCGCAAGCGGCUUGCUGGGCUGUAACUGACGCUGAGGAACGAAAGCUAGGGGAGCGAAUG
rnacentral:rRNA from 1 species